UAGCCGUAAACGAUACUCGCUAGGUGUCGGCCACGGUGCGACCGUUGUCGGUGCCGUAGGGAAGCCGUGAAGCGAGCCACCUGGGAAGUACGGCCGCAAGGCUGAAACUUAAAGGAAUUGGCGGGGGAGCACCACAACAGGUGGAGCCUGCGGUUUAAUUGGAUUCAACGCCGGACAUCUCACCGGAUAAGACAGCUGAAUGAUUGUCAAUCUGAAGGUUUUACAUGACUAGCUGAGAGGUGGUGCAUGGCGUCAGUGACCU
rnacentral:rRNA from 1 species